CAAAAACAGGCAUAGGUCAGAAAGUGGCAAACAGGUAUAUUGAUGGCAAGGCAAGAAAGGCAAGAGAGGUACAAGGCAAAGAUCCAGGCAGGGGCGAACAGUAUCCAAUUGGGCGAGACUCGAGGGACUCGAGGGAUACACAGGCAGUGAUCAGAACACGGGGAAACAGACAAGGCAAGACAAGGAAAACAAGA